CCAAUAGCGUAUAUUAAAGUUGUUGCAGUUAAAAAGCUCGUAGUUGAAUUUCGGGGUUAGUAGGUUGGUCAUGCCUCUGGUAUGUACUGGUCUCACUGAUUCCUCCUUCCUGAUGAUCCUUAAUGCCAUUAAUUUGGUGUUUUGGGGAAUUUGGACUGUUACUUUGAAAAAAUUAGAGUGUUUAAAGCAAGCUAACGCUUGAAUACAUUAGCAUGGAAUA
rnacentral:rRNA from 1 species